ACAGUGAGACAAACUGUCUAUAAAUGGAGAUGAUUUAGUACUAUAGGUACUCUCUCUAGAAGUGGCCGUUAGAUAUUCAUCUGUCCACAGUUAGACAAACUGUCUAUAAAUGGAGCUGAUUUAGUACUAUAGGUACUCUCACUAGAAGUGGCCAUUAGAUAUUCAUCUGUCCACAGUUAGACAAACUGUCUAUAAAUGGAGGUGAUUUAGUACUAUAGGUACUCUCACUAGAAGUGGCCAUUAGAUAUUCAUCUGUCCACAGUGAGACAAACUGUCUAUAAAUGGAGAUGAUUUAGUACUAUAGGUACUCUCUCUAGAAGUGGCCAUUAGAUAUUCAUCCGUCCACAGUGAGACAAACUGUCUAUAAAUGGAGGUGAUUUAGUACUAUAGGUACUCUCUCUAUAAGUGGCCGUUAGAUAUUCAUCCGUCCACAGUGAGACAAACUGUCUAUAAAUGGAGAUGAUUUAGUACUAUAGGUACUCUCUCUAGAAGUGGCCGUUAGAUAUUCAUCUGUUCACAGUGAGACAAACUGUCUAUAAAUGGAGAUGAUUUAGUACUAUAGGUACUCUCUCUAGAAGUGGCCGUUAGAUAUUCAUCUGUCCACAGUUAGACAAACUGUCUAUAAAUGGAGAUGAUUUAGUACUAUAGGUACUCUCUCUAGAAGUGGCCGUUAGAUAUUCAUCUGUGCACAGUUAGACAAACUGUCUAUAAAUGGAGGUGAUUUAGUACUAUAGGUACUCUCUCUAGAAGUGGCCGUUAGAUAUUCAUCUGUCCAC